CAACUCGUAGCAGGAAAAACCGUGAGGCUCUACUUAUAUUCACCAGUAGGUUCACCAAGCACACUUUUCAGAUGGUUGGCCAGAGCAAAUUGUGGCAAUGAAAGAAGGAUUUACCAUUUUGAAGUCUAACUGCAACACUGACUGCAUUUAUCAAUUGGUACCAGGGAGAUGGAUUUGUGAAUGAAAAUUAAGUUGUUAAGGAACCCUACACACCAGAUGGAGAGCUGACAAGACAAGGAGGAUAGAGAAACACCUUGGAAUCAAGAAGAAAAAGGUUCAAGUCUUGCCUAUGAGGCACUGGA